UCCCGCAGCUAGCCGCCGAUCCUUUCUUUCCAUUUUCUUCUUCCGUCCGCAGCCCCACCGCGAAGCAAGACUGCGCCGCUGCCAGUCCAGAUCUGCGGCGCCGUUGCUCUUCCGUCGCUGCAACCGUCGGCCGCCAUCUCUGUUCGCGAAGCAAGGCCGCCGCGUGAACCUGUAACCGCCGGCUGUCUCCCCUCUCCUUUCUCCUCUGUUUUCAGCCCAGCCGCCGCCGAUUCCUUCUCCUCCGUCGUCUGCACUGCCGCGCGACUCUCCGGCCAUUUGUAUACGGUCUCUCCGUCGCACGUCAUCUCUUCGCAAAGCCACUGCUCGAUUUCUUUCGUGAAGAUUUGGGUUCGUUCUUCAUAGACUUCAACGUGGUUAAGGAGCUUAACAAAUUUGAAGGCAAAGGUAAUAAAGGCGGCAAACCGGCGAGGGGCAGGAAGGAAGCGUGAUGCCAUAGGAAACGUGUAAUUGCUUCCGCUUAAUUAAGAUUGAUUUGAAAUUUAGUUUACAAACGUUUGUUGCAAACAGUAUUAGUUUAUGUUUUCUUGAAUGUUUAAAAAUCAGGCCUGACUUGAAGAUGUU